rnacentral:pre_miRNA from 1 species
CUUGUACUCCCUCCGUUCGGAAUUACUUGUCGCAGAAAUGGAUGUAUCUAGACGUAUUUUAGUUCUAGAUACAUCCAUUUCCGAGACAAGUAAUUCCGAACGGAGGGAGUAGCAA